CCUUAUUAUUAUUUAUCUAGGUAAAGGGUAUAAAUCAUGUUUCAACUGCUAAGUGGAUUCAAAUUCUAGUUAAAACACACAUUGGAUACUUCAUCUCGUCCCCCUCAGUGAUACAGGAUAUUCUGAUACCCUUGAACAACAUUCUGGAACAGAGGACAGCAGACUAUUUACAGAUCAAAAGAGUAA